AAGCUUGUAAUUCAGUGGUAGAAUGCUUCCUUGAUGAGGGAGAGGUCAGUGGUUCAAAUCCACUCAAGCUUA